CCUACGGGAGGCAGCAGUGAGGAAUAUUGGUCAAUGGACGAGAGUCUGAACCAGCCAAGUAGCGUGAAGGAUGACUGCCCUCUGUGUUGUAAACUUCUUUUAUAAAGGAAUAAAACGAGGCACGUGUGCCUUUUUGCAUGUACUUUAUGAAUAAGGAUCGGCUAACUCCGUGCCAGCAGCCGCGGUAAUACGGAGGAUCCGAGCGUUUUCCGGAUUUAUUGGGUUUAAAGGGAGCGUAGAUGGGUUGUUAAGUCAGUUGUGAAAGUUUGCGGCUCAACCGUGAAAUUGCAAUUGAUACUGGCAGUCGUGAGUACAGUUGAGGUAGGCGGAAUUCGUGGUGUAGCGGUGAAAUGCUUAGAUAUCACGAAGAACCCCGAUUGCGAAGGCAGCUUACUAAACUGUGACUGACAUUGAUGCUCGAAAGUGUGGGUAUCAAACAGGAUUAGAUACCCCUGUAGUC
rnacentral:rRNA from 1 species